rnacentral:rRNA from 1 species
AUUGAACGCUGGCGGCAGGCCUAACACAUGCAAGUCGAACGAGUGGCGGACGGGUGAGCAAUGUCUGGGAAACUGCCUGACGGAGGGGGAUAACUACUGGAAACGGUAGCUAAUACUGCAUACCAUCAGAUGUGCCCAGCUGGGAUUAGCUAGUUGGUGGGGUAACGGCUCACCAAGGCGACGAUCCCUACCUGGUCUGAGCGGAGGACCAGCCACACUGGAACUGAGACGCGGUCCAGACUCCUACGGGAGGCAGCAUUGGGGAAUAUUGCACAAUGGACGCAAGCCUGAUGCAGCCAUGCCGCGUGUGUGAAGAAGGCCUUCGGGUUGUAAAGUACUUUCAGCGGGGAGGCGUUACCCGCAGAAGAAGCACCGGCUAACUCCGUGCCAGCCGCCGCGGUAAUUC